UACGGAGGGUGCAAGCGUUUAUCCGGAUUCACUGGGUUUAAAGGGUGCGUAGGAGGGCAGGGAAGUCCGUGGUGAAAUCCUAGAGCUUAACUCUAGAACUGCCGUGGAUACUCUCUGUCUUGAAUCCCGUGGAGAUGAGCGGAAUAUGUCAUGUAGCGGUGAAAUGCUUAGAUAUGACAUAGAACACCAAUUGCGAAGGCAGCUCGUUACACGAAGAUUGACUCUGAGGCACGAAAGCGUGGGGAUCAAACAGG
rnacentral:rRNA from 1 species